GGCCUGGUGGUCUAGUAGUAUGAUUCCUUCUUAGGGAUGCAAGUUGGAGGAGGUCCCGGGUUCAAUUCCCGGUCAGGCCC